rnacentral:rRNA from 1 species
UUUCGCAAUGCCCGAAAGGGUGACGAAGCGACGCCGCGUGAGCGAAGAAGGCCUUAGGGUUGUAAAGCUCUGUCGAGGGUUAUGAAACGUAGAUGAGUUAAUACCUCAUUUAUUUGACAAAGGCCCCAAAGGAAGUCACGGCUAACUCUGUGCCAGCAGCCGCGGUAAUACAGAGGUGGCGAGCGUUGUUCGGAAUUAUUGGGCGUAAAGAGCACGUAGGUGGGUUUGCAAGUCAGAUGUGAAAGCCUUCUGUUCAACGGAAGAAUUGCAUCUGAAACUGCUAAUCUUGAGUAUAGGAGGGGAGAAUGGAACUUCUGGUGGAGCGGUGAAAUGCGUAGAUAUCAGAAGGAACGUCGGCGGCGAAAGCGGCUCUCUGGCCUAUUACUGACACUGAGGUGCGAAAGUUAGGGGAGCAAACGGGAUUAGAUACCCCGGUAGUCCUAACCGUAAACGAUGGGCACUAAGUAGAGGGGUUUUA